rnacentral:rRNA from 1 species
AUACGGAGGGUGCAAGCGUUGUUCGGAUUUACUGGGCGUAAAGAGAGUGUAGGUUGUUUAUUAAGUCGGAUGUGAAAUCCCGGGGCUCAACCUCGGAACUGCAUUCGAUACUGAUAGGCUAGAGUUUGGGAGGGGUAAGCGGAAUUCCGUGUGUAGCAGUGAAAUGCGUAGAUAUACGGAGGAACACCUGAGGCGAAGGCGGCUUACUGGACCAAUACUGACACUGAGACUCGAAAGCGUGGGUAGCAAACAGGAGUAGAAACCCUUGUAGUCC